AUCUUUUACGUCACUCAGAAAUACAAAAAUUAUCGACAUGGUGAUUGAAUUAACUUUUAAUGUCAUUACAGAAAACAUACAACAAAAUUACUGAGUUAGCACAUUAGAAACAGAGCCUGUCAUGAAACUUGCAAAUAAAGAUGAGAAUAGUUCAAAAUGAGAAGAUCAUGCCAUGGAAAAGACGACUGAGUGAACAUAAAGUGGAAAGGAGGAGAAAUAACUCACACCAUGCAGCAGGACACCUUCAGCUGUGGGGACUUGAUGGCCAAGGAAGUUGCACAGAACUUCCCCAACAUCCCCUCCAAAAUUGUUAAAGAACCUUAACAAUGAGCAACUGCGAAAAGAAAUGGCUGAGGAUAUACUAAAAAUGUCUGUGCUUAGAGCUUUGGGCCAAGUAACCGAAAGG
rnacentral:lncRNA from 1 species